rnacentral:rRNA from 1 species
GACGUAGGAGGCGAGCGUUGUCCGGAUUCAUUGGGCGUAAAGAGCGCGCAGGCGGCUUGGUAAGUCGGAUGUGAAAUCCCGAGGCUCAACCUCGGGUCUGCAUCCGAUACUGCCCGGCUAGAGGUAGGUAGGGGAGAUCGGAAUUCCUGGUGGUAGCGGUGAAAUGCGCAGAUAUCGGGAAGAACACCCGUGGCGAAGGCGGCUCUCUGGGCCAUUACUGACACUGAGAAGCGAAAGCAUGGGGAGCGAACAGG